rnacentral:rRNA from 1 species
CAGCCGCCGCGGUAAUACGGAGGGAGCUAGCGUUGUUCGGAAUCACUGGGCGUAAAGCGCGCGUAGGCGGUUACUCAAGUCAGAGGUGAAAGCCCGGGGCUCAACCCCGGAACUGCCUUUGAAACUAGGUGACUAGAAUCUUGGAGAGGUCAGUGGAAUUCCGAGUGUAGAGGUGAAAUUCGUAGAUAUUCGGAAGAACACCAGUGGCGAAGGCGACUGACUGGACAAGUAUUGACGCUGAGGUGCGAAAGCGUGGGGAGCAAACAGGAUUAGAUACCCGUGUAGUCCCUGUCUCUUAUAA